CCAGUUCCCACAGAGGCUCUUGUCAGCAGAAAUCGCCCAGAAAAGCAUUUGAAGAUAAAGGUAACUUUCUGCUUGCAAUUGUCUGCUUGGAUCAAGUGUCAGAUCUGGUCGUGAGGAGAAGGCAGAGAGCAGGGCACAGGGAAGAAUGCGCCAGGAUUUUGUGUACGGAGCUGAAGUCUGAAGCUUCCUUGCCAGAAACACCCCAGCAGCCAAUUACCCUGGACAUUACACCGAGGCCCACCUAGUGGUCAGCCAUCUGCCUACGCAGACAAUAAAGCUCAGUUUUUAUCCUU